rnacentral:rRNA from 1 species
CCCUUAGAUGUUCUGGGCUGCACGCGCGCUACACUGACGCACGCAACAGGUGCCUGCUCCGAGAGGACUGGGUAAUCAUUUGAGUGUGCGUCGUGAUGGGGAUAGAAUAUUGUAGUUAUUACUCUUCAACGAGGAAUUCCUAGUAAGCGCCAGUCAGCAGCUUGCGCUGAUUACGUCCCUGCCCUUUGUACACACCGCCCGUCGCUCCUACCGAUGGGUGAUCCGGUGAAUGAUUCGGACUUCAGCGGCUCCCCUGGGGUGCGCCGGAGAAAGUUUUGUGAACCUUAUCACUUGGAGGAAGGAGAAGUCGUAACA